UACGUAGGGGGCGAGCGUUGUCCGGAAUCAUUGGGCGUAAAGCGCGUGUAGGCGGUUGCCAUAGUCAGGUGUGAAAGCCUUGAGCUUAACUCAAGAAAUGCACUUGAUACUGGGCGACUAGAGGACCGGAGAGGAUAGUGGAAUUCCAGGUGUAGCGGUGAAAUGCGUAGAUAUCUGGAGGAACACCGGUGGCGAAGGCGGCAUCCUGGACCGGCAUUGACGCUGAGGCGCGAAAGCCAGGGGAGCAAACGGG
rnacentral:rRNA from 1 species